CUUUGGUUCUAUUUCGUUGGUUCUAGGACCGAAGUAAUGAUUAAUAGGGACAGUUGGGGGCAUUAGUAUUUAAUUGUCAGAGGUGAAAUUCUUAGAUUUAUGAAAGACUAACUACUGCGAAAGCAUUUGCCAAGGAUGUUUUCAUUAAUCAAGAACGAAAGUUAGGGGAUCGAAGACGAUCAGAUACCGUCGUAGUCUUAACCAUAAACUAUGCCGACUAGGGAUCAGCGGGUGUUUUUUACGACCCCGUUGGCACCUUGUGGGAAACCAAAGUUUUUGGGUUCUGGGGGGAGUAUGGUCGCAAGGCUGAAACUUAAAGGAAUUGACGGAAGGGCACCACCAGGAGUGGAGCCUGCGGCUUAAUUUGACUCAACACGGGGAAACUCACCA
rnacentral:rRNA from 1 species